UACGAAGGGGAGCGAGCGUUGUUCGGAUUUACUGGGCGUAAAGGGCGCGCAGACGGUUCUGUUUGUCGAGUGUGAAAGCCCCGGGCUCAACCUGGGAACUGCGCUCGAAACGGCGGAACUAGAGUUCGGGAGAGGAGAGUGGAAUUCCCAGUGUAGAGGUGAAAUUCGUAGAUAUUGGGAAGAACACCGGUGGCGAAGGCGGCUCUCUGGACCGAUACUGACGCUGAGGCGCGAAAGCGUGGGGAGCAAACAGG
rnacentral:rRNA from 1 species